UGCCCCUAUAGCUCAGUUGGAUAGAGCAGCGGUUUCCUAAACCGUGUGCCGGUGGUUCAAGUCCGCCUAGGGGCGU
rnacentral:tRNA from 1 species